rnacentral:rRNA from 1 species
AGGAGAGUUUGAUCCUGGCUCAGGAUGAACGCUGGCGGCGUGCUUAACACAUGCAAGUCGAACGAGCUUUAUCACUACGAUCCCUUCGGGGUGACGGUCUUAAAGCGAGUGGCGGACGGGUGAGUAACGCGUGGAUAACCUGCCAUAUACUGGGGGAUAACAGCUGGAAACAGCUGCUAAUACCGCAUAAAACUGUAAAGUCACAUGACUUUAUAGCCAAAGCUCCGGCGGUAUAUGAUGGAUCCGCGUCUGAUUAGGCAGUUGGCGGGGUAACGGCCCACCAAACCGACGAUCAGUAGCCGACCUGAGAGGGUGACCGGCCACAUUGGGACUGAGACACGGCCCAGACUCCUACGGGAGGCAGCAGUGGGGAAUAUUGCACAAUGGAGGAAACUCUGAUGCAGCGACGCCGCGUGAGCGAUGAAGUAUUUCGGUAUGUAAAGCUCUAUCAGCAGGGAAGAUAAUGACGGUACCUGACUAAGAAGCUCCGGCUAAAUACGUGCCAGCAGCCGCGGUAAUACGUAUGGAGCAAGCGUUAUCCGGAUUUACUGGGUGUAAAGGGAGCGUAGGCGGUCUUGCAAGUCUGAAGUGAAAACCCUGGGCUCAACCCUGGGAUUGCUUUGGAAACUGUAGGGCUGGAGUGUCGGAGGGGCAUGUGGAAUUCCUGGUGUAGCGGUGAAAUGCGUAGAUAUCAGGAGGAACACCAGUGGCGAAGGCGGCAUGCUGGACGAUAACUGACGCUGAUGCUCGAAAGCGUGGGGAGCAAACAGGAUUAGAUACCCUGGUAGUCCCCU